GCCCAAGUGGCGGAAUUGGUAGACGCGCUAGUUUCAGGUACUAGUGAUAGCAAUGUCGUGCAGGUUCGAUUCCUGUCUUGGGCACCA
rnacentral:tRNA from 1 species